rfam:Triticum aestivum genome assembly, contig: Triticum_aestivum_CS42_TGACv1_scaffold_643141_T_2AL-0.306437_2BL-0.214792
AAUGGGCGGGACAAAAGGUCGCGAUCUCGCGAGGGUGAGCUAACUCCAAAAACCCGUCCUUAGUUCGGAUUGCAGGCUACAACUCGCCUGCAUGAAG